rnacentral:lncRNA from 1 species
UGGGGUUAAGUUUACGGUUUUGCUCUUUUUUUUUUCUUUUUUUAAAAUAAUAAAUUUAAAGAAGGGGCCACCUUACACUACCGCCAACCACCACUGCCGAUCAUCCCUCGUCAACCGGACCCCGAUGUACAAGUCUACUACCAUGUCUUGUAGGCAUGUUUACUAUGGGGUUAAGUUUACGUUUUUACUCUUUUUUUUUGUUUAAGAAGGGGCCACCUUACACUAUCGCCAACCACCACCGUCGGUCAUCUGACGUCCACCGAACACCACCGCCCCCAUUUACAAGUCUACUAUCAUGUGUUGUAUGACAGGACCCGCCCUGGAUUCCCUCUUCAAAUCUGUGACGAAUCCUGCUGCCCAUUCGAUAUCUCGCCAAUGUCGGACCCACUUACUAAAAAUUCCUUUAGC